CUUCCCAUCUAAAGAUGACAUGGGAAAAUCAGGACUUCUCAGAGCUGCUCCUUGGUCUCUGAAGCUCAAGGCUCAGGCCCCCUGUUCAGAUAUCUUCCAGAACUAAUGGGAAGAGCCUGCUCAGCACCACUCAAUCCACCCAGCAUGUCCCAAAGAACCUAGGCUCCUAAACUGGGCCCUCAGAGGCUGCCAAUCAACCAGGACAUAAACAGAGGGGCUCAGGACCAUGAUGUGCACAGCCAAGGUGCACCUUUCACACUUCCCACAGUGAGUUGCAAUAAUGAGUGCCACACAUGGGAAAUAUGAAAUGUGGAGAUUGAUGAACAGAAUAACUUCAGAGUAGCCACUUGCACCCUAAAGUUACUUUGGAGGAAAGAACUUCAUGAAACUAAGUCAGUGAAAGUCUGUUCCAGGAGUCAUGCCUUCCUUAAUCAAGUCAUUAUGUUCUUGCACUGUUCAGAGGAAGCCAUUAAUAUAUAAGCCAUGGUUUGGACCCUUAGCUGCUUGGAAGAUUAACGAUUAUACACCCUUGUAUAUUAUUCAUAAUUUCUCUAGAUCCUGCUGAAGUAACUUCAGGUCAAAGUUUCAGCAGAAAAAGAAUCAGCAAAUGCAAAUGCAGCACAGUUUUCUGCUGGAUUUGUUAUCUGGUUCAACUAGUCCAAGCAGCUUAAGGAAAAGCUCAGGUCCACACAAAAGCACAUGGAUUUUGGAUAGGAAGACAAUUUCUGAGGUCAGUUUGUGAAAUCUCAGCCCAAUUCAAAGGCUGCUGAUGUCUACAGCAAACUUUGUCAUAAUUUUAUAUAUAAUGGCUAGAGCAUCAUAUUCAAAGAGCAUUGACAAAUAACUUGCAGAGUAAUGACUCUUAUUUCUCUAGGUGUACACAAACAAAAUUCCAUCUGCAGUUACAGAAAGGCAG
rnacentral:lncRNA from 1 species